CCUAGCUGUGUUGGCUUUCUAACCCGCACCACUUAUCGUGGUGGGAGACAGUGUCAGGCGGGCAGUUUGACUGGGGCGGUCGCCUCCUAAAAGGUAACGGAGGCGCUCAAAGGGUCCCUCAGAAUGGGUGGAAAUCAUUCAUAGAGGGUAAAGGCAUAAGGGAGCUUGACUGCGAGACCUACAAGUCGAGCAGGGUCGAAAGACGGACUUAGUGAUCCGGUG
rnacentral:rRNA from 1 species